rnacentral:lncRNA from 1 species
CCCGUUCCAUGUUCCCUGCUUCACUGUAAGCUUUCGAGCAACAGAAACUAGGCUAAGAUUGCAGCCUGCAGAGACUCCAAGCGGAGUCGGAGAAAUUUGGCCUCGUUUUAAUAGGGCUGAGGAAUGAACUCCGGAGGUCAAUAAAGCCCUCCAAAAAUGAUGAAUGAUUGAGCACCUGUGAUGAUGAUAGUGAUUACCAGAGCAAUUAAACAGUUUGAUUAAAUGAGCCAUCAUAACAAUGAUGUCUGCGGGAAAUCGGCCCUCACAUAUAAAGAAAGAUAGUGCGAAGGGGCUGGCAGAGGCGCGGAUAGCGCGACGCCAGGGAGAGGGGCUGCGGGCCGCGAGGUUUCUGCCCAAUGGCCCGAGCAGGGACGGCCAGACUCACGGAGCUUCAGGGAGGAGAGUGUAGCCCAGGUUUUCAGCCACUCUUUUUUGCCGGGCUUCAAGCCUGCUAGAGCCGACGGGUAGGAAAUCUGAAGGUUGGGGGGAGGGUACUUCCUCCACGUCCUCUUUUUUUUCCUAGAAGAACUCCAAGAUUAAAAGUAUCCUUAUUUGUUGCUGAGUUGCUCGUCGACAUUUAAGAGAAGGUGUUGCAGGAACUCAGAGAGAGGGGAGAGUGGCUGAAACGCUUAAUUACCGGAGGCGAAGGAGGGGCGCGCGGGGGACCGAAGGAGAGGGGAGUGAAGAAGGAAGGUCCUUUACCAGGCUUGUACCUGGAGAAAGCUUUGAAUCGCUUCUCUGCUAUAUUUGGAAAAGGUAUGCUUGCUUUUUAAAAAAAUGCCUUUAGGGCAAAGUGAUACCCUUGUGUAAUAAUUAACUCAGACAAUAAAAAUAAUUGGAAAAUCAGUUGGAAUUUCUGAGUUUUUAAUUACGUUUAAUUUCGUACUAAGCCGUAAAAUUACGAAUGCCCCUCAAUUAAACACUCUCCUCUUGUAAAGCGUUUAACAACAAUUAUUCCUUAAUCAGUCUGAAUGUGAGUCACAAAUGGUGCUUUUCCACAUCAAAGAGACGUCCUUCCACGUUACCUUUUAGUCAUAAGUAAGAGGAUUAAUUCCUAUAAUUAGAGGGAUAAAUAUGUGCAUAAAUAUAUCUCUCACCCUCUCCUUAAAAAACAAAACAAAACACUUUCACUCUGUGUGAUACGUGGCCGGCUAUGGUAGGGUAAGUGUUUGUAAUCGUCUGCCUCUGCCCGGCAUCCCUUUGCUGACGGGUGACUGGAACGGAGGAGACGCCGCGCGAAGCGCAGGGCCCCAGAGGGACACAUGCACAGAGGCGCACACACGGGUCAGGCAGGAGGCGCAGAGUUCGGGGGCCCGGGACUCCACCAAUUCCAGU